UUGACCUCGGAUCAGGUAGGACUACCCGCUGAACUUAAGCAUAUCAAUAAGCGGAGGAAAAGAAACCAACAGGGAUUGCCCCAGUAACGGCGAGUGAAGCGGCAACAGCUCAAAUUUGAAAUCUGGCCCCCCGGCCCGAGUUGUAAUUUGUAGAGGAUGCUUUUGGUGCGGCGCCUUCCGAGUUCCCUGGAACGGGACGCCAUAGAGGGUGAGAGCCCCGUCUGGUUGGCCGCCAAGCCUCUGUAAAGCUCCUUCGACGAGUCGAGUAGUUUGGGAAUGCUGCUCUAAAUGGGAGGUAUAUGUCUUCUAAAGCUAAAUACCGGCCAGAGACCGAUAGCGCACAAGUAGAGUGAUCGAAAGAUGAAAAGCACUUUGAAAAGAGAGUUAAAUAGCACGUGAAAUUGUUGAAAGGGAAGCGCUUGUGACCAGACUUGGGCUUGGUUAAUCAUCCAGCGUUCUCGCUGGUGCACUUGGCCGGCCCAGGCCAGCAUCAGUUCGGCUUGGGGGAUAAAGGCGUCGGGAACGUGGCUCCCCCGGGAGUGUUAUAGCCCUUCGCGCAAUGCCCUGAGCCGGACUGAGGUUCGCGCAUCUGCAUGGAUGCUGGCGUAAUGGUCAUCAGCGACCCGUCUUGAAACACGGACCAAGGAGUCGUCUUCGUAUGCGAGUGUUCGGGUGUCAAACCCCUACGCGUAAUGAAAGUGAACGCAGGUGAGAGCUUCGGCGCAUCACCGACCGAUCCUGAUGUUCUCGGAUGGAUUUGAGUAAGAGCAUACGGGGCCGGACCCGAAAGAAGGUGAACUAUGCCUGUAUAGGGUGAAGCCAGAGGAAACUCUGGUGGAGGCUCGCAGCGGUUCUGACGUGCAAAUCGAUCGUCAAAUAUGGGCAUGGGGGCGAAAG
rnacentral:rRNA from 1 species